AUACGUAGGGGGCGAGCGUUGUCCGGAAUGAUUGGGCGUAAAGGGCGCGUAGGCGGCCUGUUAAGUCUGGAGUGAAAGUCCUGUUUUCAAGAUGGGAAUUGCUUUGGAUACUGGUGGGCUUGAGUGCAGGAGAGGUUAUCGGAAUUCCCGGUGUAGCGGUGAAAUGCGUAGAGAUCGGGAGGAACACCAGUGGCGAAGGCGGGUAACUGGAGUGCAACUGACGCUGAGGCGCGAAAGUGUGGGGAGCAAACAGGAUUAGAUACCCUGGUAGUCCACACUGUAAACGAUGAAUGCUAGGUGUAAGAGGUAUCGACCCCUUUUGUGCCGGAGUUAACACAAUAAGCAUUCCGCCUGGGGAGUACGGCCGCAAGGUUGAAACUCAAAGGAAUUGGCGGGG
rnacentral:rRNA from 1 species